UACGAGGGGGGCGAGCGUUGUUCGGAAUUAUUGGGCGUAAAGGGUGCGUAGGCGGCCUGACAAGUCUGAUGUGAAAUCCCUGGGCUCAACCCAGGGCCUGCAUCGGAAACUGUCGGGCUUGAGUAUGGGAGAGGUGAGUGGAAUUUCCGGUGUAGCGGUGAAAUGCGUAGAUAUCGGAAGGAACACCAGUAGCGAAGGCGGCACUCUGGGCCGGAACUGACGCUGAGGAGCGAAAGCGUGGGGAGCGAACAGG
rnacentral:rRNA from 1 species